AACGAACGCUGGCGGCAGGCUUAACACAUGCAAGUCGAACGGGCGUAGCAAUACGUCAGUGGCAGACGGGUGAGUAACACGUGGGAAUAUCCCUUUCAGUUCGGAAUAACUCAGGGAAACUUGAGCUAAUACCGGAUACGUCCUUCGGGAGAAAGAUUUAUCGCUGAGAGAUUAGCCCGCGUCUGAUUAGCUAGUUGGUGAGGUAAUGGCUCACCAAGGCGACGAUCAGUAGCUGGUCUGAGAGGAUGAUCAGCCACACUGGGACUGAGACACGGCCCAGACUCCUACGGGAGGCAGCAGUGGGGAAUAUUGGACAAUGGGGGAAGCCCUGAUCCAGCCAUGCCGCGUGAGUGAUGAAGGCCUUAGGGUUGUAAAGCUCUUUUGCCAGGGAAGAUAAUGACUGUACCUGGAGAAUAAGCCCCGGCUAACUUCGUGCCAGCCGCCGCGGUAAUAC
rnacentral:rRNA from 1 species